CAGUAGAGAAUCUUGUGCAAUAAACGAAAGUAUGACACAGAGAGGACACAUUUAAUUGAGCCCGUCAAAUUAAGUGCCAGCCGACGCGGUUAAACUUAAGGGCUGGUCUUUAUAAGUAAAAAGGCGUAAAGGAUGUGUAGGCCAAGAAACGACCCAAGUAGGUAAAUGGAAUUUUUCUGGAGCGGUAGAAUGUGAGGAUAGAAAAUAGAACCCCUAAGGUAAAAACUAUUUACCACAAGGUAGGCUGAAACAUGAGAGUGUGGGGAGCAAACAGGAUUAGAGACCCUGGUAGUCCACACUGUGAACUUUGAAGAUGAUGCUUAGCAGACCCGAAAGGUAAAAUCUUCCGCCUGAGUAGUACGAUCGCAAGAUUAAAAUUCAAAAACUUUGGCUGUUCACUAUUUCGAUUAGAGGAGCGUGUAGUUUAAUUCGAUGGUCCGCGUGUUACCUUACCCCAACUUGAAUCUGUGACCGGUAUUGCAUGGCCGUCGUAAGUUCGUGUAUUAAGCUAGAAGGGACCCAACCCGGGCAUUUGCCCGGAGGAAGUCAGGUCUUAUGAUCCGAAUGUUGGGGGAUUUUAUGCGCUACAUUUUCUUAUAUAAUGGGAAACCUGGAAGGUGAGCCUCUAAAGUAAGAGUUCGGAAGGUCGCUGUAAGACGACUGGAAGUUGGAUUUAAUAGUAAUCGGAAAGUAGGGCGUUCCGGUGAAUUGGUACAAGUGUUAGCACAAAUUGCCCGUCACCUUUACCUAGAAUGGUUAUUCGGACGUCUUCGGUGA
rnacentral:rRNA from 1 species